rnacentral:rRNA from 1 species
UGGGGAAUUUUGGACAAUGGGCGAAAGCCUGAUCCAGCAAUGCCGCGUGUGUGAAGAAGGCCUUCGGGUUGUAAAGCACUUUUGUCCGGAAAGAAAUCCUUGGCUCUAAUACAGUCGGGGGAUGACGGUACCGGAAGAAUAAGCACCGGCUAACUACGUGCCAGCAGCCGCGGUAAUACGUAGGGUGCAAGCGUUAAUCGGAAUUACUGGGCGUAAAGCGUGCGCAGGCGGUUUGCUAAGACCGAUGUGAAAUCCCCGGGCUCAACCUGGGAACUGCAUUGGUGACUGGCAGGCUAGAGUAUGGCAGAGGGGGGUAGAAUUCCACGUGUAGCAGUGAAAUGCGUAGAGAUGUGGGGAAUACCGAUGGCGAAGGCAGCCCCCUGGGCCAAUACUGACGCUCAUGCACGAAAGCGUGGGGAGCAAACAGGAUUAGAUACCCUGGUAGUCCACGCCCUAAACGAUGUCAACUAGUUGUUGGGGAUUCAUUUCCUUAGUAACGUAGCUAACGCAUUAAGUUCCCCGCCUGGGGAGUACGGCCGCAAGGCUAAAACUCAAAGGAAUUGACGGGGUCAUAGCUG